GAGCGGAGAUAUAUGGAGCUUACUUUAUAUAACUUAGCAGCGAACGGGUGAGUAACACGUAGAUAAUCUAUCCUAUACUGGGGGAUAGCCCGAUGAAAGUUGGAUUAAUACCGCAUAUAGCUAUAUAGUUGCAUGAUUAUGUAGUGAAAGAUUUAUUGGUAUAGGAGGAGUCUGCGGCACAUUAGCUAGUAGGUGAGGUAAAGGCUUACCUAGGCGACGAUGUGUAGCCGGUCUGAGAGGAUGAACGGCCACAAUGGAACUGAGACACGGUCCAUACUCCUACGGGAGGCAGCAGUGGGGAAUAUUGCACAAUGGGGGAAACCCUGAUGCAGCAACGCCGCGUGAGUGAAGAAGGUUUUCGGAUUGUAAAGCUCUGUUAGCAGGGAAGAGGAAGGACGGUACCUGCAGAGGAAGCCACGGCUAACUACGUGCCAGCAGCCGCGGUUAUACGUAGGUGGCAAGCGUUGUUCGGAAUAACUGGGCGUAAAGGAUGCGUAGGCGGUUAAACAAGUUAUAUGUUAAAUAUAUAGGCUUAACCUGUAGAAAGCAUAUAAAACUGUUUAACUAGAGUGCAGGAGAGGUAAGUGGAAUUCCUAGUGUAGCGGUGAAAUGCGUAGAGAUUAGGAAGAACACCAGUGGCGAAGGCGACUUACUGGACUGUAACUGACGCUGAGGCAUGAGAGCAUGGGGAGCAAACAGGAUUAGAUACCCUGGUAGUCCAUGCUGUAAACGAUGGGUACUAGGUGUGGGUUGUGAAUAACAAUUCGUGC
rnacentral:rRNA from 1 species